rnacentral:tRNA from 1 species
GCCGGCUUAGCUCAGCUGGUAGAGCAGCGGUUUUGUAAACCGUAGGUCGGGGGUUCGAGUCCCUCAGCCGGCACCA